AUCUAUACUGUGAAACUGCGAAUGGCUCAUUAAAUCAGUUAUCGUUUAUUUGAUAGUACCUUACUACUUGGAUAACCGUGGUAAUUCUAGAGCUAAUACAUGCUAAAAACCCCGACUUCGGAAGGGGUGUAUUUAUUAGAUAAAAAACCAAUGCCCUUCGGGGCUCCUUGGUGAAUCAUGAUAACUUAACGAAUCGCAUGGCCUUGCGCCGGCGAUGGUUCAUUCAAAUUUCUGCCCUAUCAACUUUCGAUGGUAGGAUAGUGGCCUACCAUGGUAUCAACGGGUAACGGGGAAUUAGGGUUCUAUUCCGGAGAGGGAGCCUGAGAAACGGCUACCACAUCCAAGGAAGGCAGCAGGCGCGCAAAUUACCCAAUCCCGACACGGGGAGGUAGUGACAAUAAAUACUGAUACAGGGCUCUUUUGGGUCUUGUAAUUGGAAUGAGUACAAUUUAAAUACCUUAACGAGGAACAAUUGGAGGGCAAGUCUGGUGCCAGCAGCCGCGGUAAUUCCAGCUCCAAUAGCGUAUAUUAAAGUUGUUGCAGUUAAAAAGCUCGUAGUUGAACCUUGGGCCUGGCUGGCCGGUCUGCCUCACCGCAUGUACUGGUUCGGCCGGGCCUUUCCUCCUGGGGAUCCGCAUGCCCUUCACUGGGUGUGUUGGGGAACCAGGACUUUUACUUUGAAAAAAUUAGAGUGUUCAAAGCAGGCCUUUGCUCGAAUACAUUAGCAUGGAAAUAAUAGAAUAGGACGUGCGGUCCUAUUUUGUUGGUUUCUAGGACCGCCGUAAUGAUUAAUAGGGAUAGUCGGGGGCAUCAGUAUUCAGUUGUCAGAGGUGAAAUUCUUGGAUUUACUGAAGACUAACUACUGCGAAAGCAUUUGCCAAGGAUGUUUUCAUUAAUCAGUGAACGAAAGUUAGGGGAUCGAAGACGAUCAGAUACCGUCGUAGUCUUAACCGUAAACUAUGCCGACUAGGGAUCGGGCGAUGUUAUUCUUUUGACUCGCUCGGCACCUUACGAGAAAUCAAAGUCU
rnacentral:rRNA from 1 species